rnacentral:lncRNA from 1 species
UAAUGUAUUAGUUUUAUUAAAUGUAUUGAUAGUUUAAUUGCCUAUUGUUCUUUUGAAGUUAGUGAAAAUACUAAUAAAAUGGAAAACUUACAAAAACAUGUAACAUCUAUUUUUAUUUAUGCUUUAGUUUGGACUAUUGGUUCUAAUAGUUAUAAGAGAGGUCGAAAAAUUUUUAGCAAUUUUUUAUGCCAACAAAUUGUGAAAUAUAAUUUGAAAUUAACUUUUGAAAUGGAGGACAAUAAACAGGUGGAUAUUCGUUCAUUGAACAAAUCAGGAAGAGUUCUGAAAAAAAAUAAAAAUAAAGAUAAAAAUAAAGAUAAAAAUAAAGAUAAAAAUAAAGAUAAAAAUAAAAUUAAAAAUAAAAAGUUGGUAACGUCUGUGGGAAGUACAAGUGGUACCGUUGACAGUGUAAUGGAAAAAAAAAACGGGUGACCAUCUUUUAGUGGAAAAAACAAAAACGGGUGACCCACUAGAUGAGAGGACAACAAAAGGCAAUGAUGACGGUAGUGGUAAUACACAUAAACAGUUUGAUCAAACUUCAGAAGAAGAAAAAAAAAAAAAAAAGAGAACCUUAGAUAGAACUAAGGAGAAUGUAGAUAACACUUAUGCAAAAGACAGUGGUGAUAGUAGUACAGACAAUAUAAGUGAUAGCAAUAAUACCACCAGUGAAAGUGACCAAGAAAAUUCAGACAUAGAUAUAUACAACGAAAAAAAUAAAAAUAUUGAAAAGUAUUACGAAAAUAUAAAUAAAAUAUAUGAAUAUUAUACAAAAAAUUAUAAAUAUUGUAAGAAUUUGUAUAAAAAUUAUGACCCAAAUUGUGGUACAAACAUAGAUAAUAGAAACAACGACGAUAUAAAUAACGAUGAUAUUUUAUUUUUAAAUUCUUUUGGUAGUUAUACUUCAGAUUCCAAUUCGAGUGAUGAUGAGAGAUAUUUGAAACGAAGUAAAAGUAGGAACAAAAUUGUUAAUGCGAAAAGAAAAUUAAAACAAGAGGAAGGAGAAAAGACUAUUGUAGGUGAUGCCAUUCAUGCAAAUAUAACACACUCAGGUGAUCAAAAAAAAUAUAAAUGUGAAGAUAUAGAUGAGAUAUUAAAUAAUGUUAAUUAUUAUAAUGAUGUGUAUAAUUUGGUAGUACAGCGUAGUAGUGUUGAUGAUGGUAACAUUGUUGACAGGGUUGAUGAUGGUGUUUAUAAAAAGGAAACGCAAGAGGAAAACUUGGAUGGAAUCACAACAAUAGAUAAUAUGGAUGAGGAGAAUCGAAAAACCCGAAGAAAUAAAAAAGUAAAAAAAGCCCAAUUAGAUCUUAACCUAUUCGAUUAUUAUUUUAAUUAUCAAAAAAACGUAAUGAGUCACUUAAAUAACAGAGAAAAUAAAUUCACAUGUAUGGAUGAUUAUACAGACAAUACAUAUUUAAUGAUAAAACAAAAAAAACAAAUCUCUAUGUUAUAUAAUAUUGAUGUAUUUAUGAAAAAUAAAAAGAAUUUAAUUAUAUCUGGUUGUAAUAAUAUAGGUAAAUCUUUAACUGUUAAUUAUUAUUUAAAUAAGAUCUUAUCUAAAGAUAAAUUUUAUGCAAUUGAUUUUUAUUUUUCGAAUAAUACCACUAGUAAAAAUGUACGUAAUUAUAUUCAAUCGAAAUUAACUAAAAGAAGAAAUGAUUUUUAUGGUACAACAAAUAAUAAAAUAUGUAUUUUUUACAUUGACAACAUGAACAUUGAAACUUGUAUAUGUACAGAAAAAAAUCAUUAUUUAUCUUCACAUGAAUUUUUACGUCUAAUAUUAACAUAUAAAUUUUUUUUAGACAAACAAAUGAAUACAAAAUAUAUUGAAGAUAUAACAUGUCUUGCAACUAUAAAUAAUUCCUAUUCAGGAAAUAAACUAUUACAUAAAAAUCGUUUAUAUAAUAAAUUUAGUAUUUUUUAUUAUAAUAAUUAUAACUACAAAGAAUUGUAUAAUAUAUUUUUUAACUAUCUAAAUUGUUUGUUCAAUGUAUAUGAUAUAAAUAUAAAAAGUUUGAUACGAAAUUUGGUAAAUAUGCAAUUAGAUA